UUCACAUAGUUUUUCUUGCAACUGUAUCUUCCAUUAUGGGCUCCCACUAAUUGCCCAUCCAUAUUUCUUAAGCAAUAUAGUGGCAUCAUAUGUUCUCAACUUAUUCAUUGUGCUUAAUGUUUGAAGAAUCUCAGACAGGCCAAAUGUGCUUUAGCUCUAAGUAUACUCCAUAUUCUUCAUAUGAAAGAAGGCAACAGUUUAAAUUAAAUCUUUAGUCUAUAGCUUUGAACUUUGUCAUACCAAAGAGAAUGUGCCAAGGUACAAUAAUGCUGCUAUUUAUAUAGUACUUCUUGCUUUGCUUAGGGCCUGUUAGGAAAUGUUUAGAACAUUUUCAGAAUGAGAUAUGGAAGAUCAUCAAAGUUAAGCAAUUGUACAUUUUAUCUUGGUCAAAAAAUGUAGUCAGUAGCUCCCUCUCUCCCCACCCAGUAUGCCCCAAACAAGCAUACUUGUGCAUAUAUGCACAUCACAUAGAUUCAGACUUUCUACAUGCAGCAAUUAUUGUUGUGCUUGUCUCAGCAUUCCUUGCUAUUUUGUUGCACAUAACAAGCCAUGGUCUGAUUAAGUUGGUUAAAUAAGCCCUACAUUUCAUCUUAAGGGUAUAAGUUGUAGCUCUUUGCUUUUUAACAUCAUGCUUUAUCAUUGCUCCCCCUCUCCUUUCCAUUUAGUUUAAUAGUCAGCUAGUAAUGGUUUUCAGCAUACAUGAAAGUUUGCACAUUCCUUAGUUGGCUAGAACAGACCUAUCACUCUUGUAUUUUAGCUGAAUAGCAUGUCUGUUUUUCUAUGAGAAAGAGAUUGAAUUUAGUAUGCAGUACCAAGUAAAUGCUUCCUUAUUGUUAAAAAGAAACUCUCUAGAAUAUGAAUGCAUGUGCGCACACACAGCACAGCACAAACUUUUGGGCUUCCUUUAAUAGAUCUUGUAGAGAAACUAGUGUGGUAGUAGAUGGUGGUUUUAUUUAGCUAUGUAAAGUUAAAUGUAUUGGGAAAUGCUUGCAUGUGGGAUAGGCAGGAUACACUUUAGAGCAGGGAUGGGCAACCUGCAGGCCUUAGGCAAACUUCACAUUGUCUUUGGCCUAAUUUCAGAACUUCUGUGCAAGAAAGUUCAGCUGUCUGUCCCUUCCCUGCAGCCUGGCAAACAGAGAGGAGGAAGAAAGUAUCUGAAAGGAGGAGGUGGUCAGAGCGCAAAUGGAUCUCCCCACCAACAUUCACUUUUGGCUCUGGCUCCACUCACUGUUUGCUUGAGUCCCACCUACGAUAUGGCCCGCAACGGGGAAAAAAGAUUGCCCACUCCUGCUUUAGAGGGUUUGCAAGUGAUCUGAUGUUGGAAGAUAAGCAAGAGCUCUUUUUAGAGAAUGUUCUGCCUUUAGGCAGUAUUUGGAGGAGCUGCUGCUAGCUUCCUGUUCUUCAGCUCCAUGUAUAGAGUAGAGAGGUACCCGUUGCCUUCAUCUCAUCCUUUCCCCUCCCUCCCAGCCCCACAGAGCCUGCUAUCCUGCCCAGACAGAGCAGCUUAUCCAGCGGAUCUUACAGGACAGUCACUUUAUUUAUUCCUUCAGUCCUAUUCAAGGCCUUAACAAGCUCUUCAUACGUUUGGCAGAAGUCCCUACUGCAAAGGUCAAGCUGCUGAUAGCUGCCUAUAGAGUGCAAUUGCAGUGACUUCAUGAGUGAUGCAAUUAUUUUAUUGGAAUUCUUUGCUCAUUUGAGUCUGAUCAAGAAGUUUGGAAUUCCUGGUGCAUUCAGUGUUCUGUUCAAUCUCACUUUAUUUUGUUUGGAUGCUCUUUAUAUGUGAAUCUUCCGAAAGUAGCAGGUAUGCUGCUUCAAAAAAUUGUGUGAGGUUUUUUAUUUUGUAGAUAUAGCUGUAUUUGUGUCAAUGACUGUAAUUCAGUUUUUUAUAUUGUAAGGCUCAUCCCAGCAUUUCCACAGUGUGGAAUGAUACAAACACAGUUUUAAGAGCAAAUAUCUUGGUUGUGUAUAAAUGCUCACAUUUUGUCCUGACUUUGAUGUUUAUAUUUAAGCUUUUUUUUUAAGCAACCAGAUCUAAUUUCUAUUGCUGUUACAACAAAUAGGCAUUUUUACUUAAUAAAGAACUUCUGUGACUAAAUUAUCUGAGCAGAAGUUUAAUAUAAGAGAAAUUUAGGAAGGGUCAGUUAUAAAGUAUGAACAAAAUUCAUAUCUAGAGAUAUAACUGUAGUGGUAGUGUUUUGAUUCAUGAAGUUUAAUAGGUUCAGGCAAAAAUAAUUUUACAGAUACAUUUGGGCUAUUUUUUUAAGGCGGACAUAUUUAUAGAUUUAUGCUGAACUCCAUCCAUGUAAUGCUCCCCAAAUGAUUGAAUUGUUGCCCUGAUCAAAUGACAGUAAUCUAUACUAGUUCUGAGAGAAAAAUGUAAGACGUGCAUAAAUCCUAAUUUGUAUGUAAAAUUAAACUUUGUUAGUCAAACUUCA